rnacentral:rRNA from 1 species
GAAAUGCUUAGAUNUCACGAAGAACUCCGAUUGCGAAGGCAGCUUGCUGGACUGUAACUGACGCUGAGGCACGAAAGCGUGGGGAUCAAACAGGAUNAGAUACCCUGGUAGUCCACGCCGUAAACGAUGAAUGCUAGCUGUUAGCGAUAUACUGUUAGCGGCACAGAGAAAUCGUUAAGCAUUCCACCUGGGGAGUACGCCGGCAACGGUGAAACUCAAAGGAAUUGACGGGGGCCCGCACAAGCGGAGGAACAUGUGGUUUAAUUCGAUGAUACGCGAGGAACCUUACCUGGGCUUAAAUUGCAGUGGAAUAACGUGGAAACAUGUUAGCCUUCGGGCCGCUGUGAAGGUGCUGCAUGGUUGUCGUCAGCUCGUGCCGUGAGGUGUCGGCUUAAGUGCCAUAACGAGCGCAACCCUCAUCGAUAGUUACUAACAGGUUAAGCUGAGGACUCUAUCGAGACUGCCGACGUAAGUCGUGAGGAAGGUGGGGAUGACGUCAAAUCAGCACGGCCCUUACGUCCAGGGCUACACACGUGUUACAAUGGGGGGUACAAAGGGCAGCUACCUGGCGACAGGAUGCUAAUCUCAAAAACCUCUCUCAGUUCGGAUUGGAGUCUGCAACCCGACUCCAUGAAGCUGGAUUCGCUAGUAAUCGCGCAUCAGCCACGGCGCGGUGAAUACGUUCCCGGGCCUUGUACACACCGCCCGUCAAGCCAUGGGAGCCGGGGGGACCUGAAGUAUGCAACCGUAAGGAGCGUCCUAGGGUAAAACUGGUGACUGGGGCU